AAUUGGUGACUUACCUGCAGAGCUCAUCACGGCAGGUGAAGAACUAUGGAUCAGAUUGGCUGGGCAUCUUCUCCCUCCAGAGGCUGAGCUACAGAUGUGCAGGUUGGCCGGGCAUCUUCUCCCUCCAGAGGCUGAGCUACGGAUGACGCGGAGCUGCCUUCAUCUAAGUCUUCAUAGUACCUCUGAGAUAGGAAGGCUGACCGGGACAGGCUGGCUGCAGAAGGCCCACCCCAAAACAACAUUAGACAACUCAAAGCAAACCCAAAAGCUGUGCCAUUUCAGUGCUAAGAGACAGACCAUAAAGCACUUUCAUUAUUUUAUACCUUA